AGAGUUUGAUCAUGGCUCAGAACGAACGUUAGCGGCGCGCCUAACACAUGCAAGUCGAACGAUAAGGGCUCCGGCCCCGAAAGUGGCGUACGGUGAGUAACACGUAGAUAAUCUGCCCUUGAGUGGUGGAUAACGUCCCGAAAGGGGCGCUAAUACAGCAUAAUACUAUGAGUCUUCGGUCUCAUAGCCAAAGCGGGGGAUCUUCGGACCUCGUGCUUAAGGAUGAGUCUGCGGCCCAUCAGCUAGUUGGUAGUGUAAAGGACUACCAAGGCUAAGACGGGUAGCUGGUCUGAGAGGAUGAACAGCCACACUGGAACUGAGACACGGUCCAGACUCCUACGGGAGGCAGCAGUGGGGAAUCUUGCGCAAUGGGGGAAACCCUGACGCAGCGACGCCGCGUGAGCGAUGAAGGCCUUCGGGUUGUAAAGCUCUGUGGAUGGAGACGAAGAAGUAUAGCCUAACACGCUAUGCGGUGACGGUAUCCAUUUAGCAAGCACCGGCUAACUCUGUGCCAGCAGCCGCGGUA
rnacentral:rRNA from 1 species